rnacentral:rRNA from 1 species
AACGAACGCUGGCGGCAUGCCUAACACAUGCAAGUCGAACGAGACCUUCGGGUCUAGUGGCGCACGGGUGCGUCACGCGUGGGAACCUGCCCUUAGGUUCGGAAUAACUCCCCGAAAGGGGUGCUAAUACCGGAUAAUGUCUUCGGACCAAAGAUUUAUCGCCUUUGGAUGUGCCCGCGUUGGAUUAGCUAGUUGGUAGGGUAAAAGCCUACCAAGGCGACGAUCCAUAGCUGGUCUGAGAGGAUGAUCAGCGACACUGGGACUGAGACACGGCCCAGACUCCUACGGGAGGGAGGAGUGGGGAAUAGUGGAAAAUGGGCGAAAGGCUGAUCCAGCACGGCCGCGUGAGUGAUGAAGGUCGGAGGGUUGUAAAGCUCUUUUACCCGGGAUGAUAAUGACAGUACCGGGAGAAUAAGCUCCGGCUAACUACGUG